CCAAGUGCCCAGGAAUCCCAGAGAAGGUUCCCUGGCAAGAGUCCAAGGCACCAACUUCAGUUUCUCUUCCACCACCAGGGGAUGUGGAUUGCCUUGGAGAUCAAAGAGAAAGUCCGGAAAUAGCUGGGAGGAGGAGAGGUCCUGACAUGACAAAUCUAGACUAUGCCUGGCCCUUCCAAAGCAGAGCUAACAGGACAGGGAGCCCAGCUGAAGAUGGACCUGACACAGAACCCUAGAGAUCUAGGCGAAUGGAGGGGAAAGCACAAGCAGUGCACGUCAGGUUUGGAAAUCAACUGAAGAACCUCAGGACCUGGUAAUUCAUCAGAGAGGAAAAGAGAUCCAACACAAACUGGCUUCAGAAUCGAGAUGCAAUGGAAUAUCGACCAGUGCAGCCUACAGUCGCUGGUAAUUGGCCAAACUGCGAAUAUCAGAUGAACCUGCAAAUAAUUCCAGACCAUUUAUAUGUAAGGUUGCUUCCACAACUGUCCACAGCAAACCUGUAGAAGCGUCCACGCAAGUCACAGCCUAGCUAAAAGACUCACAUCCGUCUCCACAACGAAGUCCAGAGUGGGUCUGAGUAUCGCCUUACUAUUCCAGGCACUCAUGUGGAGU